rnacentral:rRNA from 1 species
CAGUCGCCGCGGUAAUACGGAGGAUCCGAGCGUUAUCCGGAAUUAUUGGGUUUAAAGGGUGCGUAGGCGGAUAGAUAAGUCAGUGGUGAAAGACGGUGGCUCAACCAUCGCAGUGCCGUUGAUACUGUUUAUCUUGAAUAUGGAUGAGGUAGGCGGAAUGUGGCAAGUAGCGGUGAAAUGCAUAGAUAUGCCACAGAACACCGAUUGCGAAGGCAGCUUACCAAGGCAAAAUUGACGCUGAGGCACGAAAGCGUGGGGAUCGAACAGGAUUAGAUACCCGAGUAGUCCCUGUCUCUUAUAC